GAUGAACGCUAGCGGCAGGCUUAACACAUGCAAGUCGAGGGGUAUUGAGUAGCUUGCUACUUGAGAGACCGGCAAACGGGUGCGUAACACGUACACAACCUACCUUUAUCAGGGGGAUAGCCCAGAGAAAUUUGGAUUAGUACCCCAUAGUAUUAUUUGGCGGCAUCGUUAAAUAAUUAAAGAGUUAUCGGAUGAAGAUGGGUGUGCGUAAGAUUAGCUAGUUGGUAGGGUAACGGCCUACCAAGGCGACGAUCUUUAGCUGAUGUGAGAGCAUGAUCAGCCACACGGGCACUGAGACACGGGCCCG
rnacentral:rRNA from 1 species